AGAAUCAACGCUGGCGGCGUGCCUAACACAUGCAAGUCGAACGAGAAAGUGGAGCAAUCCACGAGUAAAGUGGCGCACGGGUGAGUAACACGUGACUAACCUACCCUUGAGUGGGGGAUAACCUAGGGAAACCUGGGCUAAUACCGCAUAAUACCUACGGGUCAAAGGAGCAAUUCGCUUAAGCGAGGGGGUCGCGGCCGAUUAGUUAGUUGGCGGGGUAAUGGCCCACCAAGACGAUGAUCGGUAUCCGGCCUGAGAGGGCGCACGGACACACUGGAACUGAAACACGGUCCAGACUCCUACGGGAGGCAGCAGUGGGGAAUUUUGCGCAAUGGGGGAAACCCUGACGCAGCAACGCCGCGUGGAGGAUGAAGUCCCUUGGGAUGUAAACUCCUUUCGAUCGGGACGAUUAUGACGGUACCGGAAGAAGAAGCCCGGCUAACUUCGCGCCAGCAGCCGC
rnacentral:rRNA from 1 species